GCCUGGCUGGCUCAGUUGGUAGAGCAUGCAACUCCUGAUUUCAGAGUCAUGAAUUUGAGCCCCAUGUUGGGCA
rnacentral:tRNA from 1 species